GGUUGUGGCUCAGUGGUAGAGCACAUGCCUAGCAUGCAUGAGGUACUGGCUUCGAUCCCCAGCACCA
rnacentral:tRNA from 1 species